rnacentral:rRNA from 1 species
UACGUAGGGGGCAAGCGUUGUCCGGAUUUACUGGGCGUAAAGCGCGUGAAGGCGGCCACGCAGGUCCGUUGUGAAAACUGGAGGCUCAACCUCCAGACGUCGACGGAAACCGUGUGGCUAGAGUCCGGAAGAGGAGAGUGGAAUUCCUGGUGUAGCGGUGAAAUGCGCAGAUAUCAGGAAGAACACCAAUGGCGAAGGCAGCUCUCUGGGACGGUACUGACGCUGAGACGCGAAAGCGUGGGGAGCGAACAGG